AUUAUUUUAAGCUUAAUGUUGGUAGUAAGUAAAAAUUAUGAAAUCAUAAAAUUUUGGCGGUAUUUUAAGCUUGUUAGAGGAAUUUGCUCUAUAAUGGAUACAACGCCUAUAUCUUACUUAAUUUUGUAAUUAAAGUCAGUUUGUAUACCACUAUAUUUAAUUAUAUUGAAUAAUUAUAUUUAAGAUUUUUAUACAAAUAUAUAUUAAGUCAAGGUGCAACAAAUAAUUAUGAUUGAAGUGAAUUACAUUAAUUUUAAUGAUAUUUUGAUACUGAAAAAAAAGUUAGGAUUUAAUAGUAAAAUAUUAAUAUAAUGAAUAUUUGAAUUAAGCUCUAAAAUAUGCAC
rnacentral:rRNA from 1 species